GUUACGUAACUAAUGAAUAUACUUUCCACUUAGUUUAUGACUAUACUCAUAUUCAGGGACGCCGGAACUGGGGGNNNNNNNNNNNNNNNNNNNNAGGGGGGGGGCAGAAGAGCCCUUUGAGUUGUAAAUACUACCUGAUAAAUCACAUUUCCAGUGAUGCUUUUUGGGCAAAAUCAUGAGGUGUGAUCUUGAAUGUGACCUGAUUAAGUGCGUUUGCUUUCAUUGGCAAGUCAACACAUUAUUGUAGGUUUAUAUCUUCACUGGGAUCUAUAGAGGUGCCCCUUUGGUGUGCGUUUGCCCCCCUUUGCCUUUUUAUCGUUCCGGCGUCCCUGCUAAUAUUUUAAAAUUUUUCAUACGUUUCUCAAGCGGCAAACGAACUUAAAAAGUAUGUUCAGUGCUUUAUCUGUGAAAUAAUGCUAAAAUGAAGAGAUUUUAGAUGGUACGCCAAAGAGAAAACGAUGUCUGAAGUUCAGUAAGUUUUCCUAACUAUGUAAACUACAAAAUAAAGCUAAAACAAAGUAAUUUUGAGAAGAACGCCAAAAAGAUUUAAAGUUUUGAAGACUUUUCUGUAGCGAAGAAGUUUCAUUAGUUCUUCCAGUGAUAAACAACAAAGUCAAUACAACCUUCGAGAAUACUUUUACGGAAAAAUUUGAAGACUUGAUAUUUCCUGAUAUGCUUCCCGGUCUGCCCACAAAAAUGAUGUUGUUGCAAAAACAACUGAAAAUCUCGAUAACAUCAUCAGUGUUAAACACCGAGUCGUUUCCCUCAAACAUUUCUUACAAAUCCUUAAAAACUUAGGUAAAAUUAAUUGUGGGAAUCAUCAGAGAUUAAGAUAGAGAGCUUCUUUCGGUACUCGACUGUGUUAUGUUAGUGGAACAUCUUUGUUUGUGACAUAUGUUAAUUAUUGCUCUUAUAGAGCGGCUGCUUGUGCAUUCCAUACUGUGCUUCAAGACAAAAUGGUUGCCGAGCAGUUUAAACCUCGUCUUUGGGGAAACCAACAUAUUCUAGCGCACGGUAUGAAAUUCAGAUGACAGUGGUAUGACUUCGAGUUUGUAGGUGGAUUUUUCUAAGGGUCGUGCUAACUUCAAGAGACUGAAUUUCGCCAGUCUCUGUAUAACUGUGAACCUUGAUUUCCAUUUGGUCAUUGGUUGUCGUCAUUGUCGCUGGCAUUGGCAGACAGUCUUUCGGUGUCGUUGCCAAUCGCUGAAUGUCAUCGCUGUCAAUGAAUUUUUUGGUGGGAAUGACAACUGGUGAGAAUGACAAAAUGGCUGAC
rnacentral:lncRNA from 1 species